rnacentral:lncRNA from 1 species
UGCUGGAAUGCUGAGGAGACAGGAGUGAAGUAAAAAGACAUGGUUCCGGCAGGAAACAGGCAAGGAGAGCCUUGACUUGACGGAGUCUGGCUAUAUCGCCAGGCUGGAAUGCAAUGGCGCGAUCUCUCCUCACUGCAACCUCCGCCUCCCGGGUUCAAGCGAUUCUCCUGCCUCAGCACCUCGAGUAGCUGGGACUACAGGCGCGCGCCACCACGCCCAGAUGAGAAAACUGAGGCACAGAGAGGUGAAAUAAGGCCCCCAGAAUGCUCUUCUCCAAGACUUAGAAAAAUCAAAUGCUAUCCAUCCCUCAAGAUACAUCCCUCCAGCCCCUCCUUGAAGUCUCCUGCAGCUAGAAGUAGAAGUAGCAUCUAUCCCCAUCUGGACUCCUUAGCACUUUGCUGUACCUGCCUUAGUCCCCAUCUCUUUACACACACACACACACACACACACACACACACAGAGUAUUAUAAUACUAUUACCUAUUAUAUUACAUUAUAUUAUUGUAGUUCUACAGGAACUACAAGGAAUUCUACUGUGAAUUCCUUAAGGGUGGGAUACAUUUUACAAUCAUCACUGUUUCUCUCAUUAGUUGUGGAAUCAAAAAAAUGAGUGCACGAUGAAAAAUUAUUCAAACACAUACAUGCUUUCAUUCCAAUUGAAAAUGUAAAAAUAUUACUGUUAAAACAAUAUUAAAGGACAUGUAAUACAAUUCAAAUAUUCCUACCAUGCACGAUUGUUUUCACUUCUUUGUGCCUCUUUCACCAUUUAUUUGUGUGCAUACUCAGCAUAUUUGUUUGUGUAACAGGAUGUUAAAAAUAGAAUUUGUUGCCUGUAGUUUUUGCUAAAGCUCUACUAGACUGGAACAGA